UGGUAGGUAAACAGUAUCUCAGUCAAAGAAGGAUUCCUAUGGAUUAGCACAAGGGAGGACUCUUUAGCUUUGACAAGUAGUAGACAACUCAAUCCCAGUUGGAAUAAGAGUGGAGCAAUCCUUACUCAAACUGUUACAGUCGAUUCAGGCAAGGAGAACACUGAUCAAGGCUCUUCACUCAAACCUAGUGGUAGUAGAUUUAGACUUUAUCUUUCUAUUCUUAUUGUAUAUAAUUUCAUCAAUUUUCUUUGUAGCUAUAUUAGAAUGUAGAGUCCUGAUUUNNNNNNNNNNNNNNNNNNNNUAUCAGGUGUUUGUUUCAUGGUGCCGGGGAGACUUUUUGCUAGUUUCUGCUAAAAUACUUUCUGGUGACAAAUGACAUCAUCUUUGAGCAUCCAGAGUAAAAGAACUACUCCCAUCGCGAUUCAGGGAAAAGAAGUAGCCUUGGACCUCCGAUCCGAAUGAUGAGACACUUCUCAAGCUUCUGAUUUCAUCCUUGAUUCAACCUGGCCUAUGCUGUUUGGUUUUGUAUUCAUCAAUGGCAGAAUGUUUUAACAGGAGCGAGUUUUCAAUAAAUAUCAUCGGACGGUGAGGCAUAUCACCAAAAUCGAACACUUUGAUAUUCUCAGAGAAUCUAGAGAGAUCCAACUUUUGAAACCUUAUGGUCAUUCAUUGCUUGUAACUGGAUCCAAUAUGAUCUGUAAUCCAUCUUGAGCAGGAAAAGAUUGUGGAACAACCAUGCACUUGUCUUUCUUUGAAUCCACAGACUAGCCAAUCUUUGUUACAGUAAGAAUUUGCUUACAGAUAUGGGCUUUGGAUUGCCAACCAAACAGAUGUUUAGCUUGGCAGAAACAGUUCCUCGAGCUUCAAACUAAAGAUUGAGGUUCUUGAUCUGAAACUACUGAUUCUUGAAUCACCAUACCCCCUGGGAAAGAGCAGCUUUUGUGUGAUGAAUUCUGCAUGCUGCUGCAAGAGAUGAAGCCAAAAGCAUAUUGCUGAUGCACCGGCCUCCAAUCUGACUGUGGUGACUCACUCUGUGCAAGGAUUUGGAAAUGGAAUCAUUUGGUAGCAUCCACAGGACAGGCAAACCCAUCAAAGGUACAGAAGACAACAUCAGCAAACUGGUCAAGAUAUGCUUGUUGCCUUUACUACACUAAGUUCCAAUGUGGACCUCUUCACAGCAGUGGAUUCUUGCAAUAGAUAUGCCCUGAAAGCCCAUAGAUUGAGAACCUGCACCAAGUUGGUCAUCUUGAUCAAAUCAAAAAGGUUCUUUUACCACCUAAACUUGCUGAUCCUCUAAAAUAUUGGUAAAUUUACUAGCUAUUUAAUCUUGUUCAAACAAACCGAAAUCGAUGUCAAUAUAGAAAAUGACCGCAAACCAAAUCAAGAUCAAUUCGAUCGGAUCGAAUUGCUGAUCCCUCCAUUCAGUUCGAUUCGAUCGGAUCGGAUCGCGUUUAACUAGUUUUAAUUGAACAUCAUCCUCAGCCUCAUUAACUUUUUUUUUUAAAUAAAAAGAAAAUUCAGCAUAUAUAUUUUAAAAUUAUAUUUAAUAAAAACAAAAUAUCAUAUUUUUUUUUUCAUUAAUUAUGGCACGACCACCGCCUCUCCGCUCUUUAUUUCUUCACCGUACCUUUUCUGUUUACGCAGCCAACCACCUCCAUCCUCAUUGGGGAACUAUGUAGGGCCCACCGACGUUCCACUUCCUCGUCCAAUCAGAACUCAGGCCGGAGACGACCUUUGUCCUCGAUCUGAUCACAUCAAAACGAGCACGCUAAAUAAAGCACAUCAUAUUAUAAUCCUCGGAUAAAACCCUCCGCCACUCGAGAAAAGCUUUACUUCGUUCAUGGGCCGCUACCUUCACGAUUAUUGGGAACAUCUGCGGGCCCCAUGUUUGUUCCGAUACGACAUCCAAUAAAAACGCAGGUAGGUGUACAUACGUGGUUUCUUUAUAUACUCGAAUUAUCCCACCGCUAUAAGCAUACACUAAGCGAUCUGAUCAGAUCAAAGUAAGCACGCAUAAUAAAGAGAAAGAUAAACAUUCCACGAAUAUACCCUCGCAUCUUAAUUUCGUAUUGAUAUCGAUGUGCGUCUUCUUUUGGAUCGAGGAAGACCGCAUCCAUCUCUCCCUCUCUCUCCCUCCCUCCGCUCCUCUUCCCUUUUCGCUUGGUGACAAGGGCUUUAGCGCUCAUAGCGAUCUGAAACAUCCCGAUCUCCCUUCACCCCCCUUCCUCUUUCUCUCUCCCCGGAUCCAACCGAUCCGCGCAUCCAUGGAGGAGCAGGGCCAGAUCGCUCCCUUGUCUUGCACCCGGGGAGAGGUAACGCCGGAUCUGGAUCCCUUGUUUUAUGGUGGUUUGAUUGAUCGAUCGAUUGACUUGGCUUUGUUAUGCGGGUAGGCUGUCGAGGAGGGGAAGGGGUGGGAUGAUUCGAGCGGAUCGGGCGAGAGAUGUGGCUUCUGCGCUAUUUGCUUGGAGAAGAUCGCGCUGCCGGAGAUGGCGCUUGUAAAGGGCUGCGAGCACGCCUACUGGUUUGUGCAUGACUUUUUUAGGGUUUUCUGCGUUUUACCAAUUUUUGGUUUGGAAGGUUUCAGUUUCUUGCUUUUAUCUAUUUGGUAGGUUAAUCGUACGGAAGAAGUAACAAGUAAUUUUUUAGGAGAGUUAUGAAAGAGAUCUAAUUCUGGCAUGGUAAAUCUUAAAAUAUAAGAAGAAUUAAGCACAAUUUUUCAUCAUAGUUUGCACAACUAGAUUGCUUUUUGUAUUUUUCAAGAAGAAUUACACAGGAAUAUGAGGAAAUAUAUUAGAGUUCUUGAAAUGAGAAAAUAGAGGAGGAAGGCUCUGCUCGCUAAUGUUAAGCAGUCUUCAUUACUCAAAAUCUUGAUCACUCAGGUUGCGUAAGAGCGUGGUGCCUCAAAAGAAUGAGUGCUUGUGCUGUCAAAGAUAACAUUUCUGGGCGAUGAGAACAGUUUGAGUAGGGUUAGGCUGCCUAUGUUUUAGGUUGAUAAUCAGCUAAUUGUCACUAAGUAGAAAGAAAAGCAAUCUAUAUCUCCUAGUGAACUAUUCUUUCUUUUUCUUGAGGGCAUAAUGUUUCCAAUGAACAGUGUAUGGAAAAAGACCUUGAUUCCAAGAAAUGUUAUGUGAUCAAAAACCCUGCUGGUAAAAGAACCUUUCUGAUUUGAUCAAAAUGACCAACUUGGUGCAGGUUCUCAAUCUAUGGGCUUUCUUUUUCUUGAGGUUAUAAUGUUUCCAAUGAACCUGCACCAAGUUGGUCAUUUUGAUCAAAUCAAAAACCUAAAGAUGUCCAAAAAACUAGAGAGGUGGGUUAGGCUUAAUAAUGCGUAUGAUUAUGGUUGAUCCUUGAGAAUGUUAUCUGUGGAUCUACCAUCAAACUAUCAUAGGAAAAGCAAGUAUACUCAGGAAACAUACUAGUUACAAGAUUCACUUGUCUGUUUGUUAGUUUAGUGGUGAUUGUUUACUCUUCUUUUAAAUGACAAAGUUCAAAUGCUGACUUUGGCAAGGAGACUCAUGAUCGAAAGCAUGGGAUUGUUGCUUUUGUCUCUUCGUC
rnacentral:lncRNA from 1 species